rnacentral:rRNA from 1 species
UACGAAGGUCCCGAGCGUUGUUCGGAAUCACUGGGCGUAAAGGGCGCGUAGGCGGCGUGGUAAGUCAGAUGUGAAAUCCCGGGGCUCAACCCCGGAACUGCAUCCGAUACUGCCGUGCUCGAGGGUUGGAGAGGUAGCUGGAAUUAUCGGUGUAGCAGUGAAAUGCGUGGAUAUCGAGAGGAACACUCGUGGCGAAGGCGAGCUACUGGACAACAACUGACGCUGAGGCUCGAAGGCCAGGGGAGCAAAAGGG